rnacentral:rRNA from 1 species
UACGUAGGGUGCGAGCGUUGUCCGGAAUUAUUGGGCGUAAAGAGCUUGUAGGCGGUUUGUCGCGUCUGCUGUGAAAUCUCAAGGCUCAACCUUGAGCUUGCAGUGGGUACGGGCAGACUAGAGUGUGGUAGGGGAGGCUGGAAUUCCUGGUGUAGCGGUGAAAUGCGCAGAUAUCAGGAGGAACACCAAUGGCGAAGGCAGCUCACUGGGACGGUAUUGACGCUGAGACGCGAAAGCGUGGGUAGCAAACAGG